UACAGAGGUCCCAAGCGUUGUUCGGAUUCACUGGGCGUAAAGGGUGCGUAGGUGGUGAGGAAAGUCGGAUGUGAAAUCUCCGGGCUUAACCCGGAAACUGCAUUGGAAACUACCUUGCUAGAGGUUUUGAGGGGGGACUGGAAUUCCCGGUGUAGUGGUGGAAUGCGUAGAUAUCGGGAGGAACACCAGUGGCGAAGGCGAAUUCCUGGACCGGUUCUGACACUGAGGAGCGAAAGCGUGGGGAGCGAUCCGG
rnacentral:rRNA from 1 species